rnacentral:rRNA from 1 species
UACGUAGGGGGCAAGCGUUGUCCGGAAUCAUUGGGCGUAAAGCGCGUGUAGGCGGCCCGGUAAGUCCGCUGUGAAAGUCCAGGGCUCAACCCUGGGAUGCCGGUGGAUACUGUCGGGCUCGAGUCCGGAAGAGGAGUGUGGAAUUCCUGGUGUAGCGGUGAAAUGCUUAGAUAUCAGGAGGAACACCAGUGGCGAAGGCGGUGUUCUGGGCCAGUACUGACGCUGAGGCGCGAAAGCGUGGGGAGCGAACAGG